rnacentral:sRNA from 1 species
UAUAGAACUAGCCAGUGAUUUGAGCACGC